rnacentral:lncRNA from 1 species
GCCGCCGAUUGUCGCCCUCCUCGCGGCGACCGAAACAGGGCAACUCACGGAUUGCCCUUGUUCCCAGCUGCGUCACCACCACUUUUCCCAGCCGCAUCGCCGCCGCUCUAUCACCCGGGCAGCGACCUCUUCUCCUCACGUCCCCAUCUCGCUCGAGCGAGAAGGACUGCCGGCACCGCAGCCGCAGCCGCCGGUUGCCGCAGCUCCUCCUUGCAGCGGUUGCAGAAACAGAGCUUCCUCUGUUGCCGCAGCCCCUCGUCGAUCGCAGCCACGCCUCGAGCCCCGUCGCCUUCCAGCCGACCCACCACCACUGCCAGCUACCGUGCGGGGACCUCUGCUCGCCUCCCAGCCGCCGCUCCCCCUGGCUCGGGCGAGAACGACCGCCGCCACUCCCCCUUGCUCUGCAUCUUUUGUAACCGAAACAGGGCAAUCACGGGCAACUCACAUCUGCUGCCCUUGUUUCCAGCCGCCGCCGUCG